rnacentral:rRNA from 1 species
GAGUUUGAUCCUGGCUCAGAUUGAACGCUGGCGGCAUGCCUUACACAUGCAAGUCGAACGGCAGCACGGGGGCAACCCUGGUGGCGAGUGGCGAACGGGUGAGUAACAUAUCGGAACGUGCCCUGGAGUGGGGGAUAACUAGUCGAAAGAUUAGCUAAUACCGCAUACGAUCUACGGAUGAAAGUGGGGGAUCGCAAGACCUCAUGCUCGUGGAGCGGCCGAUAUCUGAUUAGCUAGUUGGUGGGGUAAAGGCCUACCAAGGCAUCGAUCAGUAGCUGGUCUGAGAGGACGACCAGCCACACUGGGACUGAGACACGGCCCAGACUCCUACGGGAGGCAGCAGUGGGGAAUUUUGGACAAUGGGCGCAAGCCUGAUCCAGCAAUGCCGCGUGAGUGAAGAAGGCCUUCGGGUUGUAAAGCUCUUUUGUCAGGGAAGAAACGGUGAGGGCUAAUAUCCUGUGCUAAUGACGGUACCUGAAGAAUAAGCACCGGCUAACUACGUGCCAGCAGCCGCGGU